CAUUAUGUAAAUAUAAGAGAACUUUAUUUCAUCACUAGUUACUGAAAAAUCAAAUUCUAGUCCAUUAAACAUGUCAAAUAUAUAUAAUAUACCAUACUUUGUAUAUUAUUUACUAUAUACCUGUAUAUCCAUGGGUAGAAGGUAUCUCCAUACUAGUAUUAUACCAUUAUCAUACAUAUAUAUGUCGGAGUAGAGAUUGCAGUCUGGCAGAAUUGGUGAUUUUACUUUUACUAGUAGAGAUCACGAUCAAGUUUCAUCGGUAGCCACUUCAGACUUAAUCGGUAAGACUUUAAUAAUCAUUCAUUAAAAUAUAAUGAAUUAAAGGCAAAAAGUUCUGAAAAUGUUAAUACUCAAAUCGGGAUCUCUGCCAGCCAAAUCGCAGAUUGGAAUCUUUACCCCCUCACACACAUUAGUCCUGCCUACAACAUCAAAAUUCUGUUUUUUUUAUUAUAUGUACUCUUAAAACCAAAAACUCACUACUAAAUACCUCUAUUGCUUCAAAGCCUAAACUACAGUAGAAAGGAAGCAAAGAUCAUUGCCACUGUAUAAACUUUAAGCUGUAUGGAGAUCACAUUAGGAAAGGCAUGGUGGGGUUUAAGACAACACUGUAGCCUACACUGGCUGGUCAUUGAUAAUAUGAUAUGUUUUACUAAUUCUGUGGUAUCAAUAGAAUUCAAAACAAGUCAUUAAGACAAUAAUGACACCAAUAACACUGAAAUACCACAAAUAGUCGAAUGCCAUCAUCAGAAGUGUAUUGUUGGCCAAACGUCUUUGUUCAUUAUAUAAAAGGUACCUUUGACAUUUGACUAUUUUUGUCAGGAACCGUUUUCAUUGUUAUUGAUGUCACACAGACACAUACAUUUGUAACUGACAUGACUGCAUGAGUAGAAAUCUGAGUUUAUAAUUCUGGUACAUUAGAGAACAGCUGGAAAUGCACUGGGUACAGAAAUGGUUGGAAAUACUUUAAUAGUAUUGUCUUUCCAGUAGAAAAUGCUGUAUUCUGUGCUCUUUGAAUGUAAAGUACAUGAUUUUAUUUCUCAUACAUGUAUUGUCUGCUGCCAUCUUUUACAGAAAUUGAAAUAUUACACAUACUGGCUUUAGACAACUUUAACACUUGUUACAUAGAAUUUCGUGCCCAGACUAGCAAACAUUUUCUUCCUGAUUUUGACUGUAUUCAAACCUGCAAGUUUCACAGUUGGUCUGUAAUGUUAAUGUCCUGUAGCAUCUCAUCCUUCAGAACUCAGUUACCAAUCUUUGAAAAAAAAAAACACUUUUGUGAUUAAUUCUUAGAAAAUUCUUAUGCACAAGACAUCUUGUAAAAUGCUGAUAGUGGACUGACCAAAAAAAUGCAGUUUCUAUAACUUCUAACCAGACACUGUCUACUAGUACAUUCCAAAAUAACCUAAAGUAAAAGUAAAAGAAAUCCACAUCUAAACCAUAAUUUGGACAAAGGCUUCCAGUUCAGAAAGGAAGUGUUGUAUCCAGAACUGUGCUUUAUCCAGAACGAUGUCUGGAAAAAUCUACAUUCUUGGAUAUACAGAAACUAUCCAGAACCAUGCC